rnacentral:rRNA from 1 species
AGCAGCCGCGGUAGUUCCAGCUCCAAUAGCGUAUAUUAAAGUUGUUGCAGUUAAAAAGCUCGUAGUUGAAUUUCGGGACCAAUUUGUUGGUCGUGCCUCGGUACGUACUGGUAUUAUUGGUUUCUCCCUUCUGAAGAACCUCGAUGCCAUUAAUUUGGUGUCGUGGGGAAUCAGGACUGUUACUUUGAAAAAUUAGAGUGUUUAAAGCAAGCAUACGCUUGAAUACAUUAGCAUGGAAUAAUGAAAUAGGACGUUUGAUUCUAUUUUGUUGGUUUCUAGGAUCGACGUAAUGAUUAAUAGGGAUAGUUGGGGGCAUUAGUAUUCAAUUGUCAGAGGUGAAAUUCUUGGAUUUAUUGAAGACUAACUACUGCGAAAGCAUUUGCCAAGGAUGUUUUCAUUAAUCAAGAACGAAAGUUAGGGGAUCGAAGACGAUCAGAUACCGUCGUAGUC